rnacentral:tRNA from 1 species
UCCAAUAUGGCAGAAAAAUAUGCAAUGAAUUUAAGAUUCACAGAUAAAGAUUUAUCUUUUAUUGGAA